GACGAACGCUGGCGGCGUGCCUAAUACAUGCAAGUAGAACGCAGUUGCGAACGGGUGAGUAACGCGUAGGUAACUGCCUGGUAGCGGGGGCUAACUAUUGGAAACGAUAGCUAAUACCGCAUACUACCCGAUGGACCUGCGUUGUAUUAGCUAGUUGGUGGGGUAACGGCUCACCAAGGCAACGAUACAUAGCCGACCUGAGAGGGGGGUCGGCCACACUGGGACUGGGAAACGGCCCAGACUCCUUCGGGAGGCAGCAGUAGGGAAUCGUCGGGAAUGGGCGGAAGUCUGACCGAGCAACGCCGCGGGAGGGAAGGAGGUUUUCGGAUCGUAAAGCUCUGUUGUAAGAGAAGCGGUAUCUUACCAGAAAGGGACGGCUAACUACGUGCCAGCCGCCGCGGUAAUUC
rnacentral:rRNA from 1 species